rnacentral:lncRNA from 1 species
CUCUCUGAACCCUGGAUUGUUAGCUGUAGCCACUGGUUAUUCUUUGCUGCGGGGAGAGCUGUAUUUUCUUUAAAUGAAACCUCUGCGAUCUAUAAACGAGCCUUAACAAAGGCUGCUUUUACUUUCUGAAACCAACGUAGGGCCCAGUUAAACCUGUUUAAGUUGCAAGCAAAAGUCUCAGAAGACUGUGGGGUAGAUGUCUUGUACGCUAGAACAUCAGCGUAAAUAGGAAUGCAAAGAGCCUGGAGUUUUUGGAUUUGGUUUUUAAAGUCUCGGUUAUACAUCAGAGCAUUUCAGAAUGGUGAGAGGCACAUGCAUCACCUAAUAUGCUGCAGUUCAGGGAAAAAUGACUUUUUUUACGUGACUAAACAUUUACACAAGCACUAUAGUAUUGAUACUAUUCUGCAAGUUAAUUGUAUUUUACUGUAUGCGUGGCAUGCAGCAAGCAUACUUUAUCUAAGCUUGCAUUUUGCAGGCUUCAAGAUUUCAAAUUUGUAUGUUGGUAACCAAUUAGGAUUCGGGACUAUAUAAAACUGGACAUCUCUACUAGUAGUGAAAGUGCAUAUAAGAAUAUUUUUCUCUGUUUAUGGAAACAUACAUGAAUAAGAUUUGGCAUUAUUUUAUAUGCUCUAUAAUAUGCGUUGUCAUCACCUAACAUGCGUCCUAAUAUAACUUUAACAUUUUUAUUUUACUAUCAGUUUGCUCUUUCAGCAAACAAAUUAAAAUGGCAUGAAGCUGUGGAUUGUGGUUACAUAUGUAGUUCUGAAUUUGAAUAAACAAGCCGUUUAUUUU